GCCGCCGCAGCCCCUCCCCAACCUUGCGCAUCGCCAACGGCCGCACCACAUCUCCAAUGUCGGAGGACAGCACACUCCCUCACCUCCUCCGUCGACGGACGCCACCGACCACCGGCUCUCACAGCGCCUCACUCCUGCGGCAUGUCUCCAGGUGCAGCAACAUCAGCAUUCCUUUCUCGCGACUGUUUUAUUUUCUGAAUUUUUGCUAGUACGGACACCCACAGAGGAAGAGAAGCACCUCUGAAUCUGAAGUUUACAUGAAACUGAACUUCUACCUCUUUGUCACAGGAGGGGUCAUCGGAGUCCUUAAUCACUUGCACUACUUUCUUUUAGCAUCUUGUCCAUGGAGUCAAGGCGCUGUGUGGUGUGCAAUCUCGUUUCUGGAUGGGGCACAGAAAUCUCGCUUUUUGCUCCUGUAGCAGAAAUCUCGCUUCCCUGCUGCUGUUAUGACCAUGUAUUGUUUCAAAAUGACCUUUUGUCUGAAGUUCGGUAGUAUCUGUUGGUGCAAAAAAGGUGCUUCGGUUUCAUGGGUCCUUCAAAAAUGAAUGGGAAAAGGAGUUUUCUUCUCCAAAAUGCAUCACUGCUCUGAAGUGCUAAUUCUUCUUGUGUGCCUCUAUCGAGGCUUGUGUUUCAUGGAGAGAGAGACAUAGAAAUUGUGGAAGUCAUUAAUGUUUCCUUUCUGUGUAUGUACUUCAGAAACAUUUUGUGUGAGAUAAAAAGGGUAAUGACACAUUUUUUGAGAGAUACAGAGUGCUUUGGGAUCCAAUGUUUUUCUACACAAAAUAGUGCAUUUGUGUCUCG
rnacentral:lncRNA from 1 species